AUUUCCCCCGGGCGACGGUUACCAGGGGAGCCCUCCGAAGACCCCGGAGGACGUCCGUCCUUGCGGUCCGCUCGCGCUCCUGAGGCUCCCGCCUCGUUUCGGUUUUCGGCUCGGGCGCUUGAGGCGACUGGGGUGCUGAGGAACGGCCGCAGGAGGAGGAGGCCGGUGGACGAGGGGCGGGCAGCUCUGGAGCCACACAGGGUCUGGGAGCCGAGCGCGUCCGAAAGCGGCGGGAGGGGCGGCCAGGACUCCGCGCUCCCGGCUGGUGCGGGUGGAGCGGCCGCCGCCUGCGGGGCCCAGUCGGACGCGAGCCUCGCGUCCCCGCCGCAGGCUGGCGGACGAGUAUUCGGGUGCGAGUCAAGACGGGGAAACGUGUCGCGUAAGUACAAAUAGUGGGGCUGAGAAUCGGCCACUGAACACUGCCAAAAUGGAAUGCGUUAUUCCGACUGGAAGUCGGUUCUCAUGAAUGGCGACAGAAAGACCGAGCGUGCAGCCUGCUGACCGUCCUAGGAACGACGGGAACACACACACACCGUUACCAGACUAGAGGCCUCGGACCGGAUCCCCCCCAGCCACUCCGGAGGAGAGUGGAGCCUCGGCUAUGAGCUGCUGGUGAGGGUGGAAGGCCAGCAGGGGUCCCUGAAAGGCCCCUCACUGGCGGGUGGUAGCCACAGCCCCAGGAAGUGGUCAGCUCAACUCCCCUCCUCCCACAGCAGCUCUCACAAGGCCACCGCGGAAGUUCCAAGUGCCAUGUCUGACCCCUGCCCCGAUUCCACAUUCUUCGUCUGGAUCGUUUACUACUCUGGGUCAUCUUAGAGUCAAGGUAGGAGCCCUUCGGCCUCUCCUGGUGACUGCACUUUCCUGUUCUGAGACUUGAUGCCUUGAAAGUGAGUCCCCAGAGUCCAGCCUUUUUUCCAAGUACAGGGGACAUUUCACUCGCUGUAACUGCUGAGUCCUUGCACCACGCCCUUCAGAAGUGGACAGAAACGAUUUUAAUUGCCCAGCAAGAGAGAGAGAUGCUGCGUGCCGCUGGUUCAUCGCCCUGCAGAGCCAGUGACAACAGAGGUCUACUAAUUCACUUAUCACCACAAAGUUCGGUCUCUGAGCCAGAGUCCCUCUUGCCCUCUGCCAAGCUGCCAGCAGCUCUGGGGAAGAUGAAGGAACUGAGCGCUGAGAGGUCGUGUCCUCAAGGCAGCUGGUGGAGAUGCCAGGGUGGGAACUCUGUCCGUCUUCAUGGCCGCACCCCAGCUUUGAUUGUUUUAACUCCCAGUGAAUGGCCCAUGGCCUUUCACGCGGUGCCUUCAUCAUGAACACAGCUCACACGUGAAUGUGGGACACGGCAUGGCCACCUCUGCUCUCGCUGGAGUGACAUUUUCACAUCAGCCCUUCUCACACCUCCCAUUUCCCGGUUUCCUGAUGUUUUUACAUUUUUAUUCUCCUGGGUAAACUUUAGAAUAAUUUCCUCCAGUUCCCAAAAAGACCUGUGGUCACUGAUUCCAUAGAUUGACAACUAACAUCUUUACAUUUUGAGGUUCUCUAGUUCAAAACAAGACUUCUUUAAUCUUAGAGUUUUAAGAUUUCAUUUGGGAACAACUAUUUUUUUAGGGUUCUUGAGAUGUAUUACCUGUACUAAUUUUCAGUUACUGCUUAACAAAUCACUGCAAACUUAGUGGCUGCCUUAGAACAGCACAUCCACUUAUCAUUCCAGUUUCUGUUGGUCCAGAGUCCAGCUCCAGUCCUGCCGUCAGCCAGGCAGCACCCUCGUCUGGACCUGGGGCCUUACCAGCUCAUUCAGGUUGCUAGGUAGAAGUCAUUUCUUUAUGAGUGAAGGACUAAAGUCCCUACUUUGUUGCUGGCUGCUGGCAGGGGGUUCCUCACAGCUCUUUUCACAAGACAACUUAAAAAAUUGUUUUUAAAUUGAAAUAAUACCCGAUCAGGGACCCUGACAUGGCGCUCAAUCCCAGGACCCCAGGAUCAUGA